CGUACACUCCUGCGGGAGGCAGCAGUGGGGAAUUUUAGACAAUGGGCGAAAGCCUGAUCCAGCAAUGCCGCGUGCAGGAUGAAGGCCUUCGGGUUGUAAACUGCUUUUGUACGGAACGAAAAAGCUUCUUCUAAUACAGGGGGCCCAUGACGGUACCGUAAGAAUAAGCACCGGCUAACUACGUGCCCGCAGCCGCGGUUAUACGUAGGGUGCGAGCGUUAAUCGGAAUUACUGGGCGUAAAGCGUGCGCAGGCGGUUAUGUAAGACAGAUGUGAAAUCCCCGGGCUCAACCUGGGAACGGCAUUUGUGACUGCAUGGCUAGAGUACGGUAGAGGGGGAUGGAAUUCAGCGUGUAGCAGUGAAAUGCGUAGAUAUGCGGAGGAACACCGAUGGCGAAGGCAAUCCCCUGGACCUGUACUGACGCUCAUGCACGCAAGCGUGGGGAGCAAACAGGAUUAGAUACCCUGGUAGUCCCAUGA
rnacentral:rRNA from 1 species